rnacentral:tRNA from 1 species
GGGCUUAUAGUUUAGUUGGUUAGAACAUAUCGCUCAUAACGGUAGUUGCGUAGGUUCAAAUCCUACUAAGCCUA